ACGUAGGUCCCGAGCGUUAUCCGGAAUUAUUGGGCGUAAAGAGCAUGUAGGCGGUUAAUUAAGUCUGGUGUGAAAUCUAGUGGCUCAACCACUAAAUUGCAUUGGAAACUGAUUAACUAGAAUACUGGAGAGGCAAGUGGAAUUCCAUGUGUAGCGGUGGAAUGCGUAGAUAUAUGGAGGAACACCAAUGGCGAAGGCAGCUUGCUGGACAGAGAUUGACGCUGAGAUGCGAAAGUGUGGGGAGCAAACAGGAUUAGAUACCCUGGUAGUCCACACCGUAAACGAUGAGUGCUAGUUAUUGGGGAGACUCAGUGACGAAGCUAACGCAUUAAGCACUCCGCCUGGGGAGUACGGUCGCAAGGCUG
rnacentral:rRNA from 1 species